GGUUAAGCGACUAAGCGUACACGGUGGAUGCCCUGGCAGUCAGAGGCGAUGAAGGACGUGCUAAUCUGCGAAAAGCGCCGGCGAGGUGAUAUGAACCUUUGACCCGGCGAUGUCCGAAUGGGGAAACCCAGUGCAAUCCGUUGCACUAUCGUUAACUGAAUACAUAGGUUAACGAGGCGAACCGGGGGAACUGAAACAUCUAAGUACCCCGAGGAAAAGAAAUCAACCGAGAUUCCCCCAGUAGCGGCGAGCGAACGGGGAGCAGCCCGGAGUCUGAAUCAGCUUGUGUGUUAGUGGAACGGUCUGGAAAGUCCGACGGUACAGGGUGAUAGUCCCGUACACGAAAGCACACUUGCUGUGAACUCGAAGAGUAGGGCGGGACACGUGGUAUCCUGUCUGAAUAUGGGGGGACCAUCCUCCAAGGCUAAAUACUCCUGACUGACCGAUAGUGAACCAGUACCGUGAGGGAAAGGCGAAAAGAACCCCGGCGAGGGGAGUGAAAAAGAACCUGAAACCGUGUACGUACAAGCAGUGGGAGCCUCUUUAUGGGGUGACUGCGUACCUUUUGUAUAAUGGGUCAGCGACUUAUAUUCUGUAGCAAGGUUAACCGUAUAGGGGAGCCGAAGGGAAACCGAGUCUUAACUGGGCGUUAAGUUGCAGGGUAUAGACCCGAAACCCGGUGAUCUAGCCAUGGGCAGGUUGAAGGUUGGGUAACACUAACUGGAGGACCGAACCGACUAAUGUUGAAAAAUUAGCGGAUGACCUGUGGCUGGGGGUGAAAGGCCAAUCAAACCGGGAGAUAGCUGGUUCUCCCCGAAAGCUAUUUAGGUAGCGCCUCGUGAACUCAUCUUCGGGGGUAGAGCACUGUUUCGGCUAGGGGGCCAUCCCGGCUUACCAACCCGAUGCAAACUACGAAUACCGAAGAAUGUUAUCACGGGAGACACACGGCGGGUGCUAACGUCCGUCGUGAAGAGGGAAACAACCCAGACCGCCAGCUAAGGUCCCAAAGUCAUGGUUAAGUGGGAAACGAUGUGGGAAGGCACAGACAGCCAGGAUGUUGGCUUAGAAGCAGCCAUCAUUUAAAGAAAGCGUAAUAGCUCACUGGUCGAGUCGGCCUGCGCGGAAGAUGUAACGGGGCUAAACCAUGCACCGAAGCUGCGGCAGCGACGCUUAGGCGUUGUUGGGUAGGGGAGCGUUCUGUAAGCCGUCGAAGGUGUCCUGUGAGGGGUGCUGGAGGUAUCAGAAGUGCGAAUGCUGACAUAAGUAACGAUAAAGCGGGUGAAAAGCCCGCUCGCCGGAAGACCAAGGGUUCCUGUCCAACGUUAAUCGGGGCAGGGUGAGUCGACCCCUAAGGCGAGGCCGAAAGGCGUAGUCGAUGGGAAACAGGUUAAUAUUCCUGUACUUGGUGUUACUGCGAAGGGGGGACGGAGAAGGCUAUGUCAGCCGGGCGACGGUUGUCCCGGUUUAAGCAUGUAGGCGGAGGUUCCAGGUAAAUCCGGUACCUUGUUAACGCUGAGGUGUGAUGACGAGGCACUACGGUGCUGAAGUGAUAAAUGCCCUGCUUCCAGGAAAAGCCUCUAAGCAUCAGGUAACACGAAAUCGUACCCCAAACCGACACAGGUGGUCAGGUAGAGAAUACCAAGGCGCUUGAGAGAACUCGGGUGAAGGAACUAGGCAAAAUGGUGCCGUAACUUCGGGAGAAGGCACGCUGAUAUGUAGGUGAAGUCCCUGCGGACGGAGCUGAAAUCAGUCGAAGAUACCAGCUGGCUGCAACUGUUUAUUAAAAACACAGCACUGUGCAAACACGAAAGUGGACGUAUACGGUGUGACGCCUGCCCGGUGCCGGAAGGUUAAUUGAUGGGGUUAGCGGCAACGCGAAGCUCUUGAUCGAAGCCCCGGUAAACGGCGGCCGUAACUAUAACGGUCCUAAGGUAGCGAAAUUCCUUGUCGGGUAAGUUCCGACCUGCACGAAUGGCGUAAUGAUGGCCAGGCUGUCUCCACCCGAGACUCAGUGAAAUUGAACUCGCUGUGAAGAUGCAGUGUACCCGCGGCAAGACGGAAAGACCCCGUGAACCUUUACUAUAGCUUGACACUGAACACUGGUCCUUGAUGUGUAGGAUAGGUGGGAGGCUUUGAAGCGUGGACGCCAGUCUGCGUGGAGCCAACCUUGAAAUACCACCCUUUAAUGGCUGGUGUUCUAACGUAGACCCGUAAUCCGGGUUGCGGACAGUGUCUGGUGGGUAGUUUGACUGGGGCGGUCUCCUCCCAAAGAGUAACGGAGGAGCACGAAGGUUGGCUAAUCCUGGUCGGACAUCAGGAGGUUAGUGCAAUGGCAUAAGCCAGCUUGACUGCGAGCGUGACGGCGCGAGCAGGUGCGAAAGCAGGUCAUAGUGAUCCGGUGGUUCUGAAUGGAAGGGCCAUCGCUCAACGGAUAAAAGGUACUCCGGGGAUAACAGGCUGAUACCGCCCAAGAGUUCAUAUCGACGGCGGUGUUUGGCACCUCGAUGUCGGCUCAUCACAUCCUGGGGCUGAAGUAGGUCCCAAGGGUAUGGCUGUUCGCCAUUUAAAGUGGUACGCGAGCUGGGUUUAGAACGUCGUGAGACAGUUCGGUCCCUAUCUGCCGUGGGCGCUGGAGAAUUGAGGGGGGCUGCUCCUAGUACGAGAGGACCGGAGUGGACGCAUCACUGGUGUUCGGGUUGUCAUGCCAAUGGCACUGCCCGGUAGCUAAAUGCGGAAGAGAUAAGUGCUGAAAGCAUCUAAGCACGAAACUUGCCCCGAGAUGAGUUCUCCCUGAGACUUUAAGUCUCCUGAAGGAACGUUGAAGACGACGACGUUGAUAGGUCGGGUGUGUAAGCGCAGCGAUGCGUUGAGCUAACCGAUACUAAUGAACCGUGAGGCUUAACCUU
rnacentral:rRNA from 1 species